rnacentral:rRNA from 1 species
UACAGAGGUCUCGAGCGUUAAUCGGAAUUACUGGGCUUAAAGGGUGCGUAGGCGGCUCUGUAAGUGCUUUGUGAAAUACCACGGCCUAACCGUGGAAUUGCUCGGCAGACUGCAGGGCUUGAGGUCGGUAGGGGUCGCUGGAACUCUAGGUGGAGCGGUGAAAUGCGUAGAUAUCUAGAGGAACGCCAAAGGUGAAGACAGGCGACUGGGCCGAUUCUGACGCUGAGGCACGAAAGCGUGGGUAGCGAACGGG